AGAAAAAUAUAAAAAAAAUAGUUGAGAAAAAUAAAAAAGUGGCUUCUUAAUAGUCCUGGAUAAAAAUACGGGAAAAGAAUUAAAACAAUUGCAUGAGUUGUUGGUUGCUUGUUUUUUGAGUUCUAUCCACCGUCGCUCAUUCCAUCUUGUUGUGCUACAUCUAGGGACACAUCUUAGCCAGCAACUAUGACUUGUACUUUGGAUACUUAUUGAACUUUGCUAAUCUGCUUCGGCUAUUGUUUUUCCUUGCUACCAUAUUGUGCCUGCCCAAAGCUCCAAAUAUACUUCUGUCAGCACAGGUUCACCAUUACACCCAAGCUUAACAACAG
rnacentral:lncRNA from 1 species